GGUGUGGGCUGACUGGUUUCAGCUUUCCUUUCACUCCCUCAGGCUUUCACAAGACUGUGUGAGGGCCCCAGGCUGGACUGCUUACUCAGAGGAAUCAGAAAAACUUCUAAAGAUCCUGAGAAGAAAAGGCCCCAGACUGCUGGAGUUCAAAGUCCUGGCUGCAGUCUCCCAGGAGAGGUGGGCCCUCGCUUAUCACAGUUGAGGCCUGCCCCAAGGCCUCAGGUGCGAGGCCUCGCGCUAAGGCCACAGAAGCGGAGCCCAGAACCAAGGUCACCUCCGAAGCUGAUGGAGCCCUUUUGUAACCGCUGGUCAUCACUCACAAGCUUCCUGACUCCCAGUCAAGCAGCGAUGCCCGCUCCAGUAAACGCCCCUAUUGUGCCCCAACUGGUCGCCUAAUGCCAACCGUCCAGCGGGAAUUUUCUUUGUCUUCAGGCUCUAAAAACUGGCUAUUAACCCAUGAAAACUGUUGACUCCCCCUGGUCUGUCAGGCGUUAUUGGCCCACUGUGCCUGCACUGCCCACUUUAUCUCUCUGCUCUUGGCUCUUCAUAAACU
ensembl:lncRNA